rnacentral:misc_RNA from 1 species
UCACUACUUGCGUAGGCAGUCUGGCUAGAGUCCCCACCAUUACGUGCUGGUAACUAACCACAGGGGUUGCGCUCGUUGCGCCACUUAAGGCAACACCUCACGGCACGAGCUGACGACAGCCAUGCAGCACCUUCCACCCUGCCCCGAAGGGAAACCCCGUUUCCGGAGCGGUCAGGGCGGAUUUAGCCCAGGUAAGGUUCUUCGCGUUGCAUCGAAUUAAGCCACAUGCUCCACCGCUUGUGCGGGCCCCCGUCAAUUCCUUUGAGUUUCAUUCUUGCGAACGUACUCCCCAGGUGGUGUGCUUACUGCGUUAACUGCGUCACUGAUCGGUAAAGACCAACAACUAGCACACAUCGUUUACGGCGUGGACUAC